rnacentral:rRNA from 1 species
ACGGUUACCUUGUUACGACUUAGCCCCAGUUACCAGUUUUGCCCUAGGCCGAUCCUCGCGGUUACGGACUUCAGGCACCCCCGGCUUCCAUGGCUUGACGGGCGGUGUGUACAAGGCCCGGGAACGUAUUCACCGCGCCAUGGCUGAUGCGCGAUUACUAGCGAAUCCAACUUCAUGGAGUCGGGUUACAGACUCCAAUCCGAACUAAGACCGGAUUUUGAGAUUGGCAUCCUGUCACCAGGUAGCGACCCUCUGUACCGGCCAUUGUAACACGUGUGUAGCCCCGGGUGUAAGGGCCGUGCUGAUUUGACGUCAUCCCCGCCUUCCUCUCACCUUACGGUGGCAGUCCCGAUAGAGUGCCCAACUUAAUGAUGGCAACUAACGGUAAGGGUUGCGCUCGUUAUGGGACUUAACCCGACACCUCACGGCACGAGCUGACGACAACCAUGCAGCACCUUGAAAAAAGCUCCGAAGAGAAAAUAUGUUUCCAUAUCUGACUUUUCACAUUUAAACCCGGGUAAGGUUCCUCGCGUAUCAUCGAAUUAAACCACAUGUUCCUCCGCUUGUGCGGGCCCCCGUCAAUUCCUUUGAGU